UGCCAGCAGCCGCGGUAAUACAGAGGUGGCGAACGUUGUCCGGAUUUAUUGGGUGUAAAGGGCAUGUAGGUGGUUUUGUAAGUCAAAGGUGAAAUGGCCCGGCUUAACCAGGUCAUUGCCUUUGAAACUGCAGGACUUGAGUGCGGAAGAGGAAAGCGGAAUUCCCAGUGUAGCGGUGAAAUGCGUAGAUAUUGGGAGGAACACCGGUGGCGAAGGCGGCUUUCUGGUCCGAUACUGACACUGAGAUGCGAAAGCCAGGGGAGCAAACGGGAUUAGAUACCCCGGUAGUCCUGGCCGUAAACGAUGAGUACUAGGUGUUAGAGGUAUCCACUCCUCUAGUGCCGCAGCUAACGCAUUAAGUACUCCACCUGGGGACUACGACCGCAAGGUUGAAACUCAAAGGAAUUGACGGGGGCCCGCACAAGAA
rnacentral:rRNA from 1 species